CAGCAGCCGCGGUAAUACGUAGGGUCCAAGCGUUAAUCGGAAUUACUGGGCGUAAAGCGUGCGCAGGCGGUUGUGCAAGACCGAUGUGAAAUCCCCGAGCUUAACUUGGGAAUUGCAUUGGUGACUGCACGGCUAGAGUGUGUCAGAGGGGGGUAGAAUUCCACGUGUAGCAGUGAAAUGCGUAGAGAUGUGGAGGAAUACCGAUGGCGAAGGCAGCCCCCUGGGAUAACACUGACGCUCAUGCACGAAAGCGUGGGGAGCAAACAGGAUUAGAUACCCUGGUAGUCCACGCCCUAAACGAUGUCAACUAGUUGUUGGGGAUUCAUUUCCUUAGUAACGUAGCUAACGCGUGAAGUUGACCGCCUGGGGAGUACGGUCGCAAGAUUAAAACUCAAAGGAAUUGACGG
rnacentral:rRNA from 1 species